rnacentral:sRNA from 1 species
CCUUUGGAGUGUCAUAUCAAACGCAAGUAGUUCUUAAGCAAAAGUGGACACGUUGAACAAGGAA